UAAAUAGUUUUAUCUGUUUCUAACCUCACAGAUCUGAUUUGGAUCAAGAAGAGGAAAAUCUAAGAUUAGUUAAAGAAAGUUUCAAACAGAUUAAAAAUCUUCAACUACAAAAGCAUAAUUCAAUAAGAUCUGAGCUGCAUGAAGAAGAGGAGCGUCUAAGAUCAAGCAACGUGAACAACUCAACAGUUUUCCAGACCGUGACGAGGCCAGUGAGAUGGCUGUUCAGCUGUUUCGCUAAUUCCUGGAAUGGGACUGGAAACCAGAA